rnacentral:rRNA from 1 species
GAUGAACGCUGGCGGCGUGCUUAACACAUGCAAGUCGAACGGUGAAGCAGAGCUUGCUCUGUGGAUCAGUGGCGAACGGGUGAGUAACACGUGAGCAACCUGCCCCUGACUCUGGGAUAAGCGCUGGAAACGGCGUCUAAUACUGGAUAUGAGCUGCGACCGCAUGGUCAGCCGCUGGAAAGAUUUUUCGGUCUGGGUUGGGCUCACGGCCUAUCAGCUUGUUGGGGAGGUAAUGGCGCACCAAGGCGUCGACGGGUAGCCGGCCUGAGACGGUCACCGGUCACACUGUUGGUGCGCCGCGGCCCGGACUCCUUCGUGCAGGAGGUGUGUGGAAUGUUGCGCACUGGGCGAAGGCCUUUUGCAGCACCGGCGCGUGCGGGAUGUCGGCCUUCGGGGUGUAAACCUCUUUUAGCAGGGAAGACGCGAAAGUGACGUUCCCUGCAGAAAACGCGCCGGCUAACUCCGU